GUGCUUGCUUCGGCAGCACAUAUACUAAAAAUGGAACAAUACAGAGAAGAUUAGCAUAGCCCCUGUGCAAGGAUGACAUGCAAAUUUGUGAAGUGUUCCGUAUUUUU
rnacentral:snRNA from 1 species